CUGGGAUCGGGCUGUUCAUGUACAUAUCUCCGAGAUGCGCGAUUCAGCUGCCUCGCCUCCGCUGAGCACGAGCAGUCAGCCCUGCUGUGAAAACGCUGCUGGCCGUGUGGUGAUUUCUUACAGCGAACGGGACACCCCUCCGUCCUGUUGUGAUGGAAUCGCCCCUUCAUCCUCUGCCGUGAUGAUCUCUUAUGUCUCUGUGGAGAUGGUAUCGCCCAACUUCACCGCUUGAGUAGCGUGGUUUGGAAAGGCUUUGAGAGUAUAUAGAAACUGUCAGGCACUGGAACCAAAUGAGAAAACAAGAGCUGGAGCCUGGCCAAAAAAAGGAGAGCUUGCUGAUGAUUCAUUGGACCAGACCACACCAGAUUCCCCCACCCCAAUGGGAGAUAAUAAGGCCAUUUAUAUGGGUGUCAGUGGACAGGAAGCAUGACCAUAUCUGGAUUCUGAAGGGCAGACAAUCAAGUCUUCAGAAGAAAAUGUUGGAAGAAACCACACAGACUUUUAUAGUGAUGAAUGCUGUCUGGUGGGAUGCUAUCCCUUUAAACGUCUGCCGACGGGACAGAGCUGAGCCAGUCAUCAUGACCUUCACCUUGGCCUGCCAUCUGCACCUUUGUACAGCUAUUGAUUGGCAGCUGGUUUACUGUCAUAGAUGUUGCUAACUAGACAGGGGAAGCAGUUCAUAUGUAUUUUAGCGCGGCAGGGGGGGAUGUUAGCUUGUACAGCCUCAUGCGGCAAUCGGCCCGGUGUGAACAGCAUCAGCACAAAUUAGUCCAGUAUUAGAACUUACCAUAUUUAACCUGAAAUGGGGGAAAAAAAGAAAAAGACAUUAACAAACUUCGACUGACCCUGACCAGCCUUUCUAACUGCAAACCUGCCCCCUUCCCAAUCCCCAGAGCCCCGGCUGCCCCCUCAAACCCCAGCAGAACUGCUACAUCCUCUCUCCCCUUCACCUCCUCCUUGGCGGUCUGCACUUCCACCAAAACGGCACAAGAUGUUUGGGGUGGGGAGAGAACGGCACGACAGUGAAAUUGAUAUCCCUCCCCAUCCUCUUCCCAGGCAAUAUGUUGCCUUUCUGGGA
rnacentral:lncRNA from 1 species